rnacentral:rRNA from 1 species
GAUGAACGCUAGCUCCAGGCUUAACACAUGCAAGUCGAGGGACCGGCGCACGGGAGAGUAACACGUAUCCAACCUGCCCUUUACUCGGGGAUAGCCUUUCGCAAGACAGAUUAAUACCCGAUAUAAAGGAUGGGGAUGCGUUCCAUUAGGUUGUUGGUGAGGGAACGGCACACCAAGCCUUCGAUGGAUAGGGGUUCUGAGAGGAAGGGCCCCCAAAUUGGAACUGGGACACGGUACAAACUCCGACGGGAGGCAGCAGUGAGGAAUAUAGGUCAAUGGGCGCUAGCCUGAACCAGCCAAGUAGCGUGAAGGAUGAAGGGUUAUGGGUCGUAAACUUCUUUUAUAUAAGAAUAUGUAUUAUAUGAAUAAGGAUCGGCUAACUCUGUGCCAGCAGCCGCGGUAAUUC